CCAAUAGCGUAUAUUAAAGUUGUUGCAGUUAAAAAGCUCGUAGUUGAAUUUCGGGAUCAAGGAAUCGGUCAUGCCUCGGUAUGUACUGGUUUUAUUGGUUCUCACCUUCUAAAGAACCAUAAUGUCAUUUAUUUGGUGUUAUGGGGAAUUAGGACUGUUACCUUGAAAAAAUUAGAGUGUUUAAAGCAAGCUUACGCUUG
rnacentral:rRNA from 1 species